CACGCCGUAAACGAUGUCGACUUGGAGGUUGUGCCCUUGAGGCGUGGCUUCCGGAGCUAACGCGUUAAGUCGACCGCCUGGGGAGUACGGCCGCAAGGUUAAAACUCAAAUGAAUUGACGGGGGCCCGCACAAGCGGUGGAGCAUGUGGUUUAAUUCGAUGCAACGCGAAGAACCUUACCUGGUCUUGACAUCCACGGAAGUUUUCAGAGAUGAGAAUGUGCCUUCGGGAACCGUGAGACAGGUGC
rnacentral:rRNA from 1 species